rnacentral:lncRNA from 1 species
GGGCGCAAGAGACCGCGGGGGUGGAAAAGGCCGCUCGCUCGAGAUUGCGCGCAGACCGGAUCUCACUACGUUGCCCAGGAUGGUCUUGAACUCCUGGACUCAAGCAAGCCUCUUGCCUCGGCCUCCUAAAAAGCUGGGAUGACAGGCAUGAGUCACCGUGCCCAGUCUUCAUUCUUUAAAUAUUUGGUAGAAUUCAUCAGUGAAGCCAUCUCAUCCGGGGCUUUUCUUUGUUGACAGAUUUUUUAUUACUGAUUCAAUCUCAUUCUAACUAUAGGUUUGUUCACAUUUUCUUUUACUUUAUGAUUCAGUCUUGAUAAAUUGUAUUUUUCUAGGAAUUUAUCCAUUUCUUCUAGGUUAUCCAAUUUGUUAGUGUACAGUUGUUCAUAGUAUUCUCUUAUCCUAUUUAUUUCUGUGACUUUGAUUGUAAUGUUCUGAUUUUGGUUAUUUGAGUAUUUCUUUUUUUCUUAAUUUAGCUACAGGUUGUCAAUGCAGUUACACUUUUUGAAAAACAAAUUUUGGUUUCAUUGAUUUCUCUGUUGUGUUUCUAUUCUAUAUUGCACUUAUCUCUGCACAAAUCUUUAGUUUGCUCUUUUUUUUUUUUUUUUGAGACGAAGUCUUGCUCUGUCACUCAGGCUGGAGUGCAGUGGCACAAUCUUGGCUCACUGCAAGCUCCACCUCCCGAGUUCACGCCAUUCUCCUGCCUCAGCCUCCCGAGUAGCUGGGAAUACAGGCGCCUGCCACCACACCAGGCUAAUUUUUGUAUUUUUAGUAGAGACGGGGUUUCACCUUGUUAGCCAGGAUGUUCUCGAUUUCCUGACCUUGUGAUCCACCUGCCUUGGCCUCCCAAAGUGCUGGGAUUACAGGCGUGAGCCACCGCGCCUGGACUGCUCUUCUUUUUCUAGUUCCCUAAUGUGUACAAUUAGGUUGAAAACUAUUCCACUUUUUUUUCUGAGACGGAGUCUUGCUCUUUCA